UACGUAGGUGGCAAGCGUUGUCCGGAUUUACUGGGCGUAAAGGAUGCGUAGGCGGACAUUUAAGUCAGAUGUGAAAUACCCGAGCUUAACUUGGGUGCUGCAUUUGAAACUGGGUGUCUAGAGUCCGGAAGAGGAGAACGGAAUUCCCAGUGUAGCGGUGAAAUGCGCAGAUAUUGGGAAGAACACCAGUGGCGAAGGCGGUUCUCUGGGACGGUACUGACGCUGAGACGCGAAAGCGUGGGGA
rnacentral:rRNA from 1 species